CAUCAACAUCUUAAUGGACAUUUGCUCUAUUUAUAUGUUUGGUUAGUUAAAUAGGAUGAACAUAUGUUUGUAUACACAGUUCUGGUCACAUCUUAAAGAUGAAUUUGAAUAUUUUCAUGUCUUUGUAUGUCCCUUCCUUGGAUGCUGUGGCAAGUCAAACUUUCUGAAACAUAACCAGUCAGGAUCCCACUUUUGGAUAUUGGUAGCAGUGCUGCUGAGCUCACGAAGGCAACGGAAGGUGAUGGCACCUGGGAGGCAAGGUUGGGCUUGGAAAACAGCUCCAGAGUUGUCCUUGAAGAAAACAAGACAAUGUGAAUGGCAGCACUUUAAGUGCUCACAAAAUCCCUAGCCAAAACUGGUCCUCAUACCAAGCUGCUAGGAGAAAAUGAAGGCAGAGGUGACUGAGCCCUGACAGUGUGCCCAAUACUGGCUGACAUGGGCUGAGCCACUGUAUCUUGAUAGCAGACACCCAGGAGGAGUUAUCACUGAUGACAUCAGCAUCUUUCUUAAUCUACAGAAUUAGAUGCAAAGGUUUCUCAUCAAGGUUGGAAGCCAGGUUGACCUUGAAUAUUGAUCCUCUAGCCUCUACAUUCUGAGUGCUCAGGUUAUAAACCACAUUCUGCAGUGCUGGGUAUUGAAUCCAGGAUUUUGUUCAUGCUAAGCAAGCUCUCUGCCAGCUGAGUCAUAUUCCUGCCCCCUCACCCUGGCCCCAGUCAUUUUGAUUAUAAACUUUCCCUUCCUUCCUUCCUUCCUUCCUUCCUUCCUUCCUUCCUUCCUUCCUUCCUUCCUUCCUUCCUCGCUCCCUCCCUUCCUCCCUCCCUCCCUCUCUUCCUUUUUCUCUCCCUCCCUCCUCGAUCUCUUUCCUUCCUUACCUCCUCCCUCUCUCCCACUCCCCCUUCCUCCUUCCCUCUAUCUCUUCCUCAUCAUUCCCCCUCUCCCCAUCUCUCUCUUCCUUGCAUCUUUCUCGAGGACAAAGCAAAGCAAUGGUUUCAGAAUCUUCUAGUGUGGACACUACCAGUUCAGUGGCUGGCAGUGUGCUAUGAAUCCUUUCUCUUGCAAAGUGCACCUAUGUGUUUACAAGUUCAGCAGCUUUCCCAAGACUUUAACCACAGCACAAAUCACCACUGCAUUUAGACAGUACUUAAGAAAUUCCCUCGAUGCCUAGCUGGCUUCAACUUGUGAGUCACAUGACAGCUUCUUGCAAACCUGUAAAUAUAUCCUUAAGCUUUGGUCUGAGAUUUGUGUAAACCAAUGCCUUACUUGCUGAGUGUUGUCUGCCUAUUUGUGUUUCAUGCUGAAACAAACACAGAAUCCACUAUAGGGGCUGGAGAGAUGGCUGCUAAGGAGAGUUAGGAGGACAUAGGUGGACAAAUAGGGCUCCCUGAGAUGGCAGCUUCUUGUUUUCAGAAGACAGUGCAAGGAGAAAUGGUGGGAAGGCAUGGGAGUGGGUUUCUAAAUGGGACCAAUAGGGAGCAAGGGAGGACCCUUGAACCCUAUGAAACACCCAAGCAUUAUGUGCCUGUUUAGCAGACUCCCAGCCUUAAUGCCUGUUCUUUCUGCCCAGUGUCUCCAAACCUGUUUGGUUUUUGUUGUUUUUUUAAUCUGUUCUUUCCCCUUUUGUUUCUUCCCCUUAUGCCCUGGGC
ensembl:lncRNA